rnacentral:rRNA from 1 species
UACGUAUGUCGCAAGCGUUAUCCGGAUUUAUUGGGCGUAAAGGGCACGCAGGCGGGCUUUUAAGUGAGAUGUGAAAUCCCCGGGCUUAACCUGGGAAUAGCAUUUCAGACUGGGAGUCUAGAGUACUUUAGGGAGGGGUAGAAUUCCACGUGUAGCGGUGAAAUGCGUAGAGAUGUGGAGGAAUACCGAAGGCGAAGGCGGCCCCCUGGACAAAGACUGACGCUCAGGUGCGAAAGCGUGGGGAGCAAACAGG